rnacentral:rRNA from 1 species
GGAUUAGAUACCCGGGUAGUCCCAGCCGUAAACGAUGUGCGUUAGGUGUAUCGGUGACCACGAGUCACCGAGGUGCCGAAGAGAAAUCGUGAAACGUACCGCCUGGGAAGUACGGUCGCAAGGCUGAAACUUAAAGGAAUUGGCGGGGGAGCACCACAACAGGUGGAGCCUGCGGUUUAAUCGGACUCAACGCCGGGAAACUCACCAGAUAAGACAGCUGAAUGAUAGUCGGGCUGAAGACUCUACUUGACUAGCUGAGAGGAGGUGCAUGGCCGUCGUCAGUUCGUACUGUGAAGCAUCCUGUUAAGUCAGGCAACGAGCGAGACCCACGCCAACAGUUGCCAGCUCGUCCUCCGGGAUGGUGGGGACACUGUUGGGACCGCCUCUGCUAAAGAGGAGGAAGGAAUGGGCAACGGUAGGUCAGCAUGCCCCGAAUUAUCUGGGCUACACGCGGGCUACAAUGGGUGGGACAAUGGGUAUCGACACCGAAAGGUGAAGGCAAUCUCCUAAACCCAUCCUUAGUUCGGAUUGUGGGCUGCAACUCGCCCACAUG